rnacentral:lncRNA from 14 species
UCACAAGCUGACCCCUCAGCCUCGCCUGUGGAGCAGAGGCUAAAGAACCAAGAACAGUUCACGCACAUGUAAAGAGUCUGCGCAUCAGAGCAGAGAUUGGCAUUCGUGGAGUUCUUGCCCCUGUGAUGAUAGCUCCUGUC